CCUACGGGGGGCAGCAGUGGGGAAUAUUGCACAAUGGGCGCAAGCCUGAUGCAGCCAUGCCGCGUGUGUGAAGAAGGCCUUCGGGUUGUAAAGCACUUUCAGCGGGGAGGAAGGCGUUAAGGUUAAUAACCUUGUCGAUUGACGUUACCCGCAGAAGAAGCACCGGCUAACUCCGUGCCAGCAGCCGCGGUAAUACGGAGGGUGCAAGCGUUAAUCGGAAUUACUGGGCGUAAAGCGCACGCAGGCGGUCUGUCAAGUCGGAUGUGAAACCCCCGGGCUCAACCUGGGAACUGCAUUCGAAACUGGCAGGCUAGAGUCUUGUAGAGGGGGGUAGAAUUCCAGGUGUAGCGGUGAAAUGCGUAGAGAUCUGGAGGAAUACCGGUGGCGAAGGCGGCCCCCUGGACAAAGACUGACGCUCAGGUGCGAAAGCGUGGGGAGCAAACAGGAUUAGAUACCCGAGUAGUC
rnacentral:rRNA from 1 species